rnacentral:misc_RNA from 1 species
GAUGAAGAACGCAGCGAAAUGCGAUACGUAAUGUGAAUUGCAGAAUUCAGUGAAUCAUCGAAUCUUUGAACGCAUAUUGCGCUCUCUGGUAUUCCGGAGAGCAUGCUUGUUUGAGUAUCAGUAAACACCUCAACUCCCUUUCUUCUUGAAAUGGAGCUGGACUUGAGUGAUCCCAACGCUUUAUUCAUAAAGUGGCGGGUUACUUGAAAUGCAAGUGCAGCUGGACUUUUCUCUGAGCUAUAAGCAUAUCUAUUUAGUCUGCCUCAAAACAGAUUAUUACCUUUGCUGCAGCUAACAUAAAGGAGAUUAGUUCUUGUGCUGACUGAUGCAGGAUUCACAAAGACCGCUUCGGCUGUCUUUGUAAACUCGAUCUCAAAUCAAGUAAGACUACCCGCUGAACUUAAGCAUAUCAAUAAGCGGAGGA